ACCAUUGUUUUCUAUUUAUCAUCAUCCUCUCGCGCCUCUUCAAUUCAAUCCCACCUUCCCUCUAGAUCUCUCUCUUCAACCUCAGGAGUAAGAAGAAGAGAGAAAAAAAAUGUCGAGAGCUAUGGUGGAGCUCGAUUUCUUCGGACUCGGGAAGCAGGCGUCGGCGGCGAAGACGACAACGACUUCGACGGCCACCUCUCCCAAGCCUAAGUUCCAGAAAUUUCUCGAUCGACGCCGCAGUUUCCGAGAGAUUCAAGGCGCGAUUUCGAAGAUUGAUCCGGAGAUCAUCAGAUCUGUGAUCGCUUUCGGUGCUCCGAGUCACAGCAGCGACAGCGGAAGUCAGUUUGAUUCGCCGAGCAGAUCUGCGUCGGUUCCGUCCACUCCGAGGAACGAUCACCCUAAGAUUCCGGUUCCAUCGGUCCACGCGCCGGUAGCCAGACUCAGUGCAGAGCACGUCCCUGAAACCGCUCCUAUGACGAUUUUCUACAACGGAAACGUCUCUGUUUUCGAGAUUUCUCCUGAUAAGGCGGAGAGCAUUUUGAAGGUCGCUUUGGAAGCCUCUUCCUCGAAGAACGUCGAAUCAACAGAGCCAAAUGCUACAGUCUCCCCGAGCGAAAAACAAAAGCUAUUCGGUCAGAAUCUCGAAGGAGAUCUGCCAAUUGCAAGGCGAAAGUCACUCCAAAGGUUUCUGGAGAAGCGCAAGGAGAGGUAAAUUUGUUCUACCAUCCCAAGGAUGAAGCUCACCUUUUUUAACAAAAAAAGAUUAGUACCGAACUCUCCAUAUUCACGGUUGGCUUAGAUCUUCUCCUUCUGUUCGACGACGGCCCGCUUUUGACCACUGAAGUAUUCCGUCUCGUGUUUUGCUUCUUCGCUUGAGUUCUCGAAGGUUCUUUUUUCACCGAAGCAACCAAUGCUUAUGAUUUUAGUCUAACAUUACAAUGUUAUAAAAAAAAUCACCGCAAUGGGGGCUUAGGUUUUUUUAGUAAUUCUCGAAGGCUCGUUUUCUGUAUAUUAUAUAUAUAUAUAUGAAUAUGUACACCUUUAAUCGUAUAUUCUAACACUGAGGUCUUACCUUAUAAUAUCUUAAACCGUCAUGAAUUCGAUUUUAA